rnacentral:rRNA from 1 species
UGGGGAAUAUUGCACAAUGGGGGAAACCCUGAUGCAGCGACGCCGCGUGAGUGAAGAAGUAUUUCGGUAUGUAAAGCUCUAUCAGCAGGGAAGAAAAUGACGGUACCUGAGUAAGAAGCCCCGGCUAACUACGUGCCAGCAGCCGCGGUAAUACGUAGGGGGCAAGCGUUAUCCGGAUUUACUGGGUGUAAAGGGAGCGCAGACGGCUCUGCAAGUCUGAAGUGAAAGCCCGCGGCUUAACCGCGGGACUGCUUUGGAAACUGCAAGGCUUGAGUAUCGGAGGGGCAGGCGGAAUUCCUAGUGUAGCGGUGAAAUGCGUAGAUAUUAGGAAGAACACCGGUGGCGAAGGCGGCCUGCUGGAUGAAAACUGACGUUGAGGCUCGAAGGCGUGGGGAGCAAACAGGAUUAGAUACCCUGGUAGUCCACGCGGUAAACGAUGAAUACUAGGUGUUGGUGCCCGAAGGGCAUCGGUGCCGUCGCAAACGCAAUAAGUAUUCCACCUGGGGAGUACGUUCGCAAGAAUG